rnacentral:rRNA from 1 species
AUGAAGACCCAACAGCAUGAAGCUCGCCGCACAACUCGGCACAGCGGCCAGGUAGUUACCUCCGUCGGCUUACCGAACAGUCCGGUUCGGAAACGCCGUUCAGAGGUCUCUAAUUUGCUUAUCAGUACUUGUCCUAAAGCGGGCUGUUUUCGUCAACCGCUUAAUCCAUCUGACUCCGAUUAUCAGGUUACUUCCCACUCAUCCUCUGGCGAGUCAUCGGCUACUCAGCUGCCACCGCUCAAAACUGUGCUUGGGGCCAAGCUUAAGCCGAGCAAGAAGGCUCGCCUGGAUAAAGCGACCGAAGAAGAAACUGCUCCUGAACCGGACAACACCCCAGAUCUUGAAGCGGCUAUUCGUGAAGAUGUGCCCAACGACCUGCCACUGCAAGAUGAGGAUUUUAUUGCUGAAGAAAGGCCUGUUGAUGCCUCCGGUCCUGCCGACCAGCCCAGAAGUCCCAUCCGGAUUGAGAAAUCCACCAGCCCAUCCAAGACUACUGGUAAACUGACAGCCCCGGUGCAAACCGGUGACGCCCAGGAUGAUGAAGUUGUUAUUACUGGUGUUGGCCAUACCGAGCCAAGCAAUCAUGUCGCUUUGUCCAAACAUAAUGCCAAGGACAAAUUCGCCGCAAUGGGCAAGGCCAAGUGGAAUGUCGAUUUGGCGACUUAUGCUGCUCUGAAUGCCCAAGGUCUUCAUUCUGGCUACCUGAACCGACUGUAUACCAGUCGUGAUUAUGAAGCUGGCCUAGUGAAUAUGAUGAAAGAGAAUUUUGAGGCUGAGCUGAAGACCAAAGAAAUCCAACUCGCCGAUCUUCAAGAAAAUUUGAAAUCCCAACAAGCUGAAACCUCAAAGGCGAAAGAGGAAUUGACCAGCGCUUUAAGCGUCAUGGAACAGCUUAAGGAGGGCUUCAAAAAAGAGCGGACAGAUUGGGCCACUGAGAAGGCCGCUUUGACCAAGAAAAUUGAAACUGCUGAAGCCGCCCUUAAACCGGUGGUAGAUGAGCUGACCAGCGUAAAGCGGCAAGUGCAUGCCAUGACUGCCGCCAUCUUUGGCACAUGCAUUGGUCACUUAGGGUCAGAUGUUCGGAUGAAAUUGAAAGCCGCCUGCACAUUAAUUGAACAGCUGUAUACUAGAGCGCAGCGGAUCAUCUCUACUGCAUCACAUAACAAUCCGGCGCCCACUUUAAUUCAAGAUACUCUUAAGAGGUUGUCAAUGCUUCCCCCCGGGUUGAAGAGCUGA